UCGGGAAUUUUGGGCAAUGGGCGAAAGCCUGACCCAGCAACGCCGCGUGCAGGAAGAAGGCGUUAUGCGUUGUAAACUGCUUUUGCCAGGGGAUAAAAAGACCGUGCGCGGUUAAUUGAAGGUACCUGGUGAAUAAGCCACGGCUAACUACGUGCCAGCAGCCGCGGUAAUACGUAGGUGGCAAGCGUUGUCCGGAUUUAUUGGGUUUAAAGGGUGCGUAGGUGGCCCUGUAAGUCAGUGGUGAAAUAUCUCAGCUUAACUGAGAGGGUGCCAUUGAUACUGCAGGGCUUGAGUACAGAUGAGGUAGGCGGAAUUGACGGUGUAGCGGUGAAAUGCAUAGAUAUCGUCAAGAACACCGAUAGCGAAGGCAGCUUACCAAGCUGUAACUGACACUGAGGCACGAAAGUGUGGGGAUCAAACAGGAUUAGAUACCCAUGUAGUCCCUGAGCGGGCUGGCAAGGCGCAU
rnacentral:rRNA from 1 species